rnacentral:snRNA from 1 species
GGUAAAAGCUCGUUUGAUUC